AUUGAACGCUGGCGGCAGGCUUAACACAUGCAAGUCGAGCGGAGAUGAGGUGCUUGCACCUUAUCUUAGCGGCGGACGGGUGAGUAAUGCUUAGGAAUCUGCCUAUUAGUGGGGGACAACAUUCCGAAAGGAAUGCUAAUACCGCAUACGCCCUACGGGGGAAAGCAGGGGAUCUUCGGACCUUGCGCUAAUAGAUGAGCCUAAGUCGGAUUAGCUAGUUGGUGGGGUAAAGGGCUACCAAGGCGACGAUCUGUAGCGGGUCUGAGAGGAUGAUCCGCCACACUGGGACUGAGACACGGCCCAGGCUCCUGCGGGAGGCAGCAGUGGGGAAUAUUGGACAAUGGGCGGAAGCCUGAUCCAGCCAUGCCGCGUGUGUGAAGAAGGCCUUUUGGUUGUAAAGCACUUUAAGCGAGGAGGAGGCUACCUGGAUUAAUACUCUAGGAUAGUGGACGUUACUCGCAGAAUAAGCACCGGCUAACUCUGUGCCAGCAGCCGCAGUAACAC
rnacentral:rRNA from 1 species